UACAGAGGGGGCAAGCGUUGUCCGGAGUUACUGGGCGUAAAGGGCUCGUAGGCGGCCAACUAAGUCGGACGUGAAAUCCCCAGGCUCAACCUGGGAACUGCGUCCGAUACUGGAUGGCUUGAAUUCGGGAGAGGGAUGCAGAAUUCCAGGUGUAGCGGUGAAAUGCGUAGAUAUCUGGAGGAAUACCGGUGGCGAAGGCGGCAUCCUGGACCGACAUUGACGCUGAGGAGCGAAAGCUAGGGGAGCAAACGGG
rnacentral:rRNA from 1 species